AACGAACGCUGGCGGCAUGCCUAACACAUGCAAGUCGAACGAGACCUUCGGGUCUAGUGGCGCACGGGUGCGUAACGCGUGGGAACCUGCCCUUAGGUUCGGAAUAACUCCCCGAAAGGGGUGCUAAUACCGGAUAAUGUCUUCGGACCAAAGAUUUAUCGCCUUUGGAUGGGCCCGCGUUGGAUUAGCUAGUUGGUAGGGUAAAAGCCUACCAAGGCGACGAUCCAUAGCUGGUCUGAGAGGAUGAUCAGCCACACUGGGACUGAGACACGGCCCAGACCCCUACGGGGGGCAGAAGGGGGGAAUAUUGGACAAGGGGCGAAAGCCUGACCCAGCAAUGCCGGGUGAGUGAUGAAGGCCUUGGGGUUGUAAAGCUCUUUUACCCGGGAGGAUAAUGACAGUACCGGGAGAAUAAGCCCCGGCUAACUCCGU
rnacentral:rRNA from 1 species